rnacentral:rRNA from 4 species
AAAUUGAAGAGUUUGAUCAUGGCUCAGAUUGAACGCUGGCGGCAGGCCUAACACAUGCAAGUCGAACGGUAACAGGAAGCAGCUUGCUGCUUUGCUGACGAGUGGCGGACGGGUGAGUAAUGUCUGGGAAACUGCCUGAUGGAGGGGGAUAACUACUGGAAACGGUGGCUAAUACCGCAUAACGUCGCAAGACCAAAGAGGGGGACCUUCGGGCCUCUUGCCAUCAGAUGUGCCCAGAUGGGAUUAGCUUGUUGGUGAGGUAACGGCUCACCAAGGCGACGAUCCCUAGCUGGUCUGAGAGGAUGACCAGCCACACUGGAACUGAGACACGGUCCAGACUCCUACGGGAGGCAGCAGUGGGGAAUAUUGCACAAUGGGCGCAAGCCUGAUGCAGCCAUGCCGCGUGUAUGAAGAAGGCCUUCGGGUUGUAAAGUACUUUCAGCGGGGAGGAA